rnacentral:rRNA from 1 species
CCCUUAGAUGUUCUGGGCUGCACGCGCGCUACACUGAAGCUAUCAACACGUUUUCCCUCCCUGAGAAGGGCGGGUAACCUUUUGAAUCAGCUUCGUGGUAGGGAUCGGGGCUUGCAAUUGUUCCCCGUGAACCAGGAAUUCCUAGUAGACGCGAGUCAUAAGCUCGCGUCGAUUAAGUCCCUGCCCUUUGUACACACCGCCCGUCGCUACUACCGAUUGAACGUUUUAGUGAGGCAUUUGGACCGACGCAUCUCAGUUUAACCGCUGGUUUGUGUUGGAAAGACUUCCAAACUUGAGCGUUUAGAGGAAGUAAAAGUCGUAACA